AUGGCGUUUGGGCUGUGGAAGAGACGUCGGGGCAAACCAACGGUUGGUGCAAAUGGGGCAAAAACAAAUACGUAUACAAUGUUAGUCAUGUUGCAAGUGCAAUCCCUUUCACUGCUUCUGCCUGCCUCUUGCUGCCUAGCAGCUCCCAAAUCUCAAGUCCCAACCACACCUCCCAUCCAGCAGUGUCUCUCAUCUCCCUUGCUUUUUGCUUCCAUUGAUGCACACACCACAUCCUCCAAAUCAAGCACGAUGGACGCCCAAGGUGCCCUCGACUCGCUCCUCGGCCGCCUCACCACCAUCCUCGUGGACGAGGCAAAACUGCUCGGCAACCUCCAUGGCGAUGUUGAGUUCAUCAAGGAGGAGAUGGAGUGCAUGAAUGGCGUGCUCCUCCACCUCGCGGAGGCUCAACACCUCGAUCGCCAUGUUCGCGCUUGGAUGAAGCAAGUCGUUGGCCUCGCCCGCAACUGCGAGGGCAACGUCGAGCUCUACAUCCACAGUGUCACGGAUGCUGGCCACCAUGACCGUGGCUUCCUUGGCUACUUGCGGCAGAUCAUCCGGUAUAUGCGUACCAUCCCGGAGCGGCAUCGGAUUGCGACGCGGAUACGUGAGCUUAAGGUCAGGGCGCACGAUGUGGGCCACAGGCAGCUGAGGUAUGGUAUCACCAUGCCACCGGCUGCUGACCAGGACGGCGCGAUAUUCAUGGAUGACGACAUAGCAGUCCCCGACGGACCAGAAGCCGAGCUGGAAGAUGCUCGGAGACGCGCUCUUCUUGUCAAUUGUUCGUGGUCGGAGGACAAAGAGGCUUAUGAACAGAAAAUCAUGGAUGAUACCAUCAAGUCCCUGCUGUUGUCUGAGGAGGAACCUGUUGAUGAACUAGCAAAUGGGGAAUCACACCCGAGGAUAUUCCUGAUGACCUGGGAUGAAUGUUCCGGAGAGGAUAGGGAUUUCACAAUUCUUGUAGCUAAGAAACUAUAUGAGCAGGAAAUCAGCUCAUUUAGUUGCAAAGCCCGGGUCAGCCAUUACAAAUUGGAUUCUGUGGUGGUAUUACUGCAGGAAAUACUGCACCAAGUGACGUCCCUUCCAGCUGAACAAGAAGACGUGCCCAGGUUGGAAGCGGAGAAGAGUACAGAAACAUCACUGGGUGAUGACGAGGACGGCGAGGCAAUGCAACUCACCAAGAAACUUGAGGGGUUCCUCAAAGGUAAACGAUUCUUGAUCAUUCUUUAUAAUGUCUAUGGUAUAGAAUGGGAUACCAUAAGGUCUGCCCUGUUACAUGUUACUGCUCAAGGCUCUCCUGGUAGCGCUAUUGUCAUUAGCACAGAGUAUGCUGAUUUAGUGGAGUCCCCCUAUAAAAUCCUCAAGCCACAAACUCUAUUACGUGCUUUCUGCAGUAAAACCAUGGAGCUUGCUAGAUGUUUUGAAGAUUCUAUAUAUCAUAUAUCGAAUAUUUUAGAAUUAUGUCACCCCGAUGUCUUUGCAAUGAAGAUGUUCCAACAUCUUCUGUAUGUUAACCCUGGAAGAGGUAAAACACAGCUAGACCAAUUUACAAAAACCUUACAGGGUUGUCGAGAUGCAAACAAAAGUGUCGCAAAGCAAAUGGUGAAGAUCUCCUACAAUGACCUGCCUGCCAAGUACAGGAGCUGCUUGUUGUACCUGACCAUCUUCCCAGAUGGUGACCCCAUUAGGAGAACAACCGUGUGUACAAGAUGGAUAGCCGAAGGGCUGAUAACGUCAAGGGAGAAUCAUGCACAAGAUGAAGCCGAUUCCUGUAUCGAUGCACUCCUCUCAAGGGGUCUCAUUCAACCUGGGCAGAUUAGUGACACGGGCAAGAUCAAGACCUUUACAUUGCAUCGUGUUGUUCGUGAAGUCAUCACCAUGAUUGCUAGAGAUGUUAACUUUGUGGACACGGACCUACCACCCGAUUUGGCUCGCCACCUUCCUGUUCACAGUAGAACUGGGGUGCAAACAUCUCAUGCCGAUCGUUCCAUGAAAGCAGCUGAUGGCAAUGGCAUUGUGGCAUUUCUUCCAGACUUGGCAAAGUCAUCUCAGUGGCAGCUUAUGAAGAUGCUGGAUCUUGAAGGUUGUAGAGGUUUAAAGAAGCACCAUUUGAAAAGCAUCUGCAAAAUAAUACUGCUCAAGUAUUUGAGCCUCAGGAACACAGAUAUUACUGAACUGCCCAAGCAGAUCGAGAAGUUGCAGUGUCUGGAGACCUUUGACAUCCGGCAAACAGCGGUACAGUCAUUCGCCACUAAAUCGAUCAUGGUUCCAAUGCUAAAGCAUCUACUUGCUGGUCAGGCUGAGUCUCCAAGCAACAAUUCCGAUGGGCCUCAAGAUUUGUUUACGGCGGUGCGCCUUCCCAGCAGCAUCAGAAGAAUGGAACAAUUGGAGACACUAUCCCAUGUUGAAGCUUCCCACCGUUUGAGUGAUUUAACUGAUGUUGGCCAUCUGUUACGGCUGAGGAAACUGGGUGUGAUUCUUUCUGGUAAGAAAGGCGCUUUGGAUAUUUUGUUCCAGCAGAUUGAAAGAUUACACGGUUGCCUCCGCUCUUUGUCAAUCCAGAUCAACCAACCGGUUUCCAAAAAUGAGGAUACUCCUUGUGCAGAGGAGGUGAUCACAUUAGUCUCGCCUCCAAAACUUCUUCAGAGCCUAAACAUUAGAGGCAUCAGGAGUGAUCUUCUCAUGUGGAUUGCAGAGCUUGAUCAACUUACUAAGAUAACACUGAGCGAGACCUACCUGGCAGAGGAUUACACACGCAUCCUUGGCAAGCUUGCAGCUCUGCGUUGCCUCAGGCUUCGGCGCAAUUCAUACGCCGGAAGCAGGCUCACUUUCAAGGAUGAAGAGUUCAAGAGCCUCAAGUCAUUGGUCGUCGAUGACGGCAUCAUCAUCAACAUUAGCUUUGACACCGGAGCGGCUCCCAAGAUCGAGACCGUUGUGUGGUAUUUCGCCACAAUGGAGUCUAUUUCUGGACUCCUCUGCCUUCCCAAACUGAAGAAGCUCGAGCUCAAUGGUGAUUGUGACCCUGAUGCAGUGAGACAAGAACUUGAUGAAGAGCACCCCAACAGUGUUGAUUUCAAGCACAGGCCAGGCCAUGGACAUCAAGAAGAUGGAGCUACUGUUGCUGCCUCCACCUCCAUGAGCAAGUGA
rnacentral:rRNA from 1 species